UUAAGAGAACAACCCGACUAUUCUUUUUCUCUCCCGACUCCCCUCCUAAUGCAGGAGAACUCCUCUCUCUUUAAAUCUCUAACCUUCCCCAAAAUCCUCAACCUCACGCACGCAGUCUCUUUUAUUUAAAAAAAAAAAAAAAAAUCCUAAUGCUAAUGCAGAAAGAGACCUAAUGCAGAAGCAUUCCCUCUCUCACUCUAAAUCUCUAACCUCUAUGGGCUAUGGCGUUCCUGCUACAACGUUUUCAAAGAUAUUGAUUGGACUGGCUCAAUAUAUUCAGAUAAUGGUCAGGAUCGAUAGCCCUCAUGGACUGGCUCGAAUCCCCUAAUGCCCACAUCUUCAAGAUCAAUGUCCCAGAGAAUAGUUGAUUGGCUUGCUGAAAACUUUAAGAUAGAUGAAGGAGCGAAUUGAUAAUGCAAUUAUGUAAGCCUCUAUUGAAAAAAUUAGCGAGAAUAGUUGAUUGGCUUGCUGAAAACUUUAAGAUAGAUGAAGGAGCGAGUCGAUAAUGCAAUUAUUUUGGCAUGGAUAAAGAUCACAACAAGGCGUUAGCAGAAGAGUUGCUCCUUUUCAAGAAUGGCUUCAUUAUGGGCACAGCUGAUUCCUUCGAUAUUUGACAUUUUUUUAGUGAAGUUAUUGAAAAUUUUCAAACCUAAACAGUUCACAAAGCAGUUUUUUUAGGCUAUUAUUAGAUCGACCUCAACCUUGGACUCAUGAUUUGAGCUUUUUCACAAAGAUAGUGCUCAGUGAAGGUGUUACACGCUAAGUCGAAACAUAAUGAUUUGAUGGCCCCUGGUGAGUGCAAAAGUUUGAGUUUUUUUAUCACAAAGUCAUUAUCUUUUUCAAUAAUUUUUUUAUUAUUUUAAUGAUUUAAUUUAAAAGAUAUUUCAUUAAACAACUUCAUUUUAAUAAAUUGGGUAUUUUUAGUGUUUUAGAAGGUUCAGAAGUGGUGGAGAAAGUAGAGCAGCCUUAAGUUGCACAUUGUUAUGGUGGAUAUUAGACUAUUGUCCUUAUUAGUUUAUGUAGUUCGAUAUUUGGUUCCUUAUGAUUUGAAGAGUGAAGAAGGUUGUGUAUGGCCUUGCAAAAGAUGGGUAUGUGCAAAGUGAUUUCUUAGCUUAAGGUUUCUGUCGAUGACUUGAUAUGAGAAUAAUUUGUGCUUGACAUAUUGUUCUUUGUAACUUUUGUUGCUUUUACUGUAAGUGAAUGGACAGGUACCUAGGGUCGUAUUUUAAAGUUUUAUUUGAA